rnacentral:lncRNA from 1 species
AAACUUUCUUGAAAGAAAAUCAGCUAAUUAUAGUAAACAUAUUACACUCCGUAUUUCUUAAGAAAAAAAUAAAGCUUUAUGUCUUUGAAAUGCAUACUAAAACAUGACUGAUUUUAUGUAUGCACCUAGAAAUUAUAAAGAAUCAUAAAUUAUCAACAAAUCUGUUGCUUGAAACACUCAAAGCUGAAAUACACACCCCAGAAUCAAGAAUGUAAAAACUGGAUGACAAUCUUCAGUCUGUCAGACAGAAAAAAAAAAGAAUAUUUGACUCCCGUGUUUAUUAUAUAGUGCAUGAAGAAAAAUGUAAAUUUUAAAAUAAAAGUGUUUUUUUCUUUUUAGUUUUUUUUCUUAUAAAGUAAGAGUUAU